UGGGUUGCUCAGUCCUGUCCUGGUUGUCUGUCAUCCUGUGUGUUGUCACUCUGGCCUUGACCUAACACACCUGAAACCAGUAAUGAAUGUUUCCCUAAGACCCUAAAGCUGAGUGGGAUGUGUUGUGUUGGGGCUCUGCAGGGCAGUGGACACAUAGAGACAGAACAGGGAGACCAGCUAUAUUGUAUGGAAGUAAAAAGAGCUCUACAGUACUAUUAGGUCAUAUGAGAUGAAUCAUGCUUUUUCUGUGUUAAUGUAUGUUUGGGUGUUUCCAAACCUUUCCCUUUUGAUAAAAACAUAAACAAAAGGUAGGAAGGACAUUAUUUUGGAAAGAGUUGAAUUAUGUACUAGACUGGUUGGGGUCAGGGAGAGAGUUGAGUUAUGUACUAGACUGGUUGGGGUCAGGGAGAGAGUUGAAUUAUGUACUAGACUGGUGGGGGUCAGGGAGAGAGUUGAGUUAUAUACUAGACUGGUGGGGGUCAGGGAGAGAGUUGAGUUGAGUUAUGUACUAGACUGGUGGGGGUCAGGGAGAGAGUUAUGUUCUAGACUGGUUGGGGUCAGGGAGAGAGUUAUGUACUAGACUGGUGGGGGUCAGGGAGAGAGUUGAGUUUUAUACUAGACUGGUGGGGGUCAGGGAGAGAGUUGAGUUAUGUACUAGACUGGUUGGGGUCAGGGAAAGAGUUGAGUUAUGUACUAGACUGGUGGGGGUCAGGGAGAGAGUUGAGUUAUGUACUAGACCGGUGGUGGUCGGGGAGAGAGUUGAGUUAUGUACUAGACUGGUGGGGGUUGGAUAGAGAGUUGAGUUAUGUACUAGAUUGGUGGGGUUCAGGGAGAGAGUUGAGUUAUGUACUAGACUGGUGGGGGUCAGGGAGAGAGUUGAGUUAUGUUCUAGACUGGUGGGGGUCAGGGGGAGAGUUGAGUUAUGUUCUAGACUGGUGGGGGUCAGCAAGAGAGGUGAGUUAUGUACUAGACUGGUGGGGGUCAGGGAGAGAGUUAUGUACUAGACUGGUGGGGGUCAGGGAGAGAGUUGAGUUAUGUUCUAGACUGGUGGGGGUCAGGGAGAGAGUUGAGUUAUGUUAUAGACUGGUGGGGGUCAGGGAGAGAGUUGAUUUAUGUACUAGACUGGUGGGGGUUGGAUAGAUAGUUGAGUUAUGUACUAGACUGGUGGGGGUCAGGGAGAGAGUUGAGUUAUAUUCUAGACUGCUGGGGGUCAGGGAGAGAGUUAUGUACUAGACUGGUGGGGGUCAGGGAGAGAGUUAUGUACUAGACUGGUGGGGGUCAGAGAGAGAGUUGAGUUAUGUUCUAGACUGGUGGGGGUCAGGGAGAGAGUUGAGUUAUGUUCUAGACUGGUGGGGGUCAGGGAGAGAGUUGAGUUAUGUACUAGACUGGUGGGGGUCAGGGAGAGAGUUGAGUUAUGUACUAGACCGGUGGUGGUCGGGGAGAGAGUUGAGUUAUGUACUAGAAUGGUGGGGGUCAGGGAGAGAGUUGAGUUAUGUUCUAGACUGGUGGGGGUCAGGGAGAGAGUUAUGUACUAGACUGGUACGGGUCAGGGAGAGAGUUGAUUUAUGUACUAGACUGGUGGGGGUUGGAUAGAUAGUUGAGUUAUGUUCUAGACUGGUUGGGGUCAGCGAGAGAGUUGAGUUAUGUUCUAGACUUGUGGGGGUCAGGGAGAGAGUAGCGUUAUGUUUUAGACUGGUG
rnacentral:lncRNA from 1 species